GACGAACGCUGGCGGCGUGCUUAACACAUGCAAGUCGAACGGAAAGGCCCUGCUUUUGUGGGGUGCUCGAGUGGCGAACGGGUGAGUAACACGUGAGUAACCUGCCCUUGACUUUGGGAUAACUUCAGGAAACUGGGGCUAAUACCGGAUAGGAGCUCCUGCUGCAUGGUGGGGGUUGGAAAGUUUCGGCGGUUGGGGAUGGACUCGCGGCUUAUCAGCUUGUUGGUGGGGUAGUGGCUUACCAAGGCUUUGACGGGUAGCCGGGCUGAGAGGGGGACCGGCCACAUUGGGACUGAGAUGCGGCACAGACUACUACGGGAGGCAGCGGUGGGGAAUAUUGCACAAUGGGCGGAAGCCUGAUGCAGCAACGCCGCGUGCGGGAUGACGGCAUUGGGGUUGUAAUCCGCUUCCGCCUGUGACGAAGCGUGAGUGACGGUAAUGGGUAAAGAAGCACCGGCUAACUACGUG
rnacentral:rRNA from 1 species